AACGCACCUUGCGCUCCCUGGUAUUCCGGGGAGCAUGCCUGUUUGAGUGUCGUGAAAUCAUCAUGGUCAUGAUCUUUAAUUAAUCAUGGCUUGGUUUUGGAGGUUAUGUUGGCUUUUUAUUAAGUUGACUCCUCUUAAAUACAUUAGCUCAGUGUUUAAUGCUUAGAGCGGUUCACGGUGUGAUAAUUGUCUACGCCGUUCUGUGAAGCAUAACUAUGGGACUCGGCUUCCAAUAGUCCUUCACUGGACAAUAUCUUUGACCUUUGACCUCAAAUCAGGUAGGAUUACCCGCUGAACUUAA
rnacentral:rRNA from 1 species